GGAGAAACGCAGGAGAGGAGUCGGCGCCAGAACAGCUCCGGAAUGACGGCCAUGGAAUAACCAGAAUGCUUCUGUCCAGCCAUUUCUGCACAGAACAAAGAACACAAACCAUCCAGUACUCCAUCCUCCCCCUUCAGAAUAGAGGAAGAAUCAUUUUCUUUAAAAUCUGGAUUCAGACUUGGACACAGACACAGUGGAAGCCAAGGAUGAGAUUCAAGCUUAAAAUAGGAACAUUAAGUGAAUGUUUGAAAAGUGAUGAUCAGACCCCCACCAGCCUGCUUCCCUUGCCCUCUGUCUAGAAUACUGGAAACCAGAGAUGUUCCUUUUACCUAAGGAUGGAAAAUUAAUCCUUGGAGGAACUCUAAGUUCCCAGAGAAAACACCUUCAGACAUUGGUAUUUUCCCAAAAGAAAAGUCAGCUUUCUACUGCUUGAUCAUUUCCAGAAGACUGCAGUCAGCAUGUUUUGCCCAUGACUACAGAGUGGACACUCAAUCUUAGGAAUUUCAUAUUUCCAGUUAAAUAUGGGUCAACAGCUAAGGAUCACCACAUAUUUGAGCACAGCCUCUAAUACAAGAGACUGAAGCUGGUGCUGUCUCUGGAGGAGACACACCUGCACGAAUCAGAAGAAAAAAGUGAAAUUACAAUAAUGUCCUUGGAAAAAAGGAACAAUUUUAGAACAAGAGCUCUUUGAAAUUAAAAAUAUGGAAACUGAAACAAAAUUUCCAGUAAGACUUGAAAGACAAAGAGAAUCUCUUAGAAAAUAAUAAAAAGACAAAAGAAUGGACAGCUGAGAGAGAAGAUGAGAAAAUCAAAGACUGUGGUUGAGAAGUCCAACAUCCUUCUGGAGUUCUGGGGGAAAAAAAACCCAGAAAGUAGACUGGAAGAAUAUUUAAAAUAAAUCCUCUAAGAAAAUUUUCUAGAACUGAAGAACACAAUUUUCCAGUUUGAAAAGGCCCACAAAACCUAGCACAGUGAUUGGAAAAAAGAGGGUAAAAACUUUCAGAGAGAUGAAAAAGUUCAUAAAGGAGCAGGAAUUAAGAUUGCAUAUGAUUUGGGCGCCUGGGUGGCUCAGUUGGUUAAGCAACUGCCUUCGGCUCGGGUUAUGAACCUGGAGUCCCGGGAUCGAGUCCCACAUCGGGCUCCCUGCUCAGCA